GAGGCUAUAGCUCAGUGGUAGACUACAUGCUUAGCAUGCAUGAGGUCCUGGGUUCAAUCCUCAGUACUUCCU
rnacentral:tRNA from 1 species